rnacentral:tRNA from 1 species
GCGGCAGCUUGGCCAGGGGGCGCAGGCGGUUCCAGGCCGCCUCGUCGCCGCCCUUGAACAUCUCGGGGGCGGUGGCG